UAACUGGGUGCUGGGAGGUGUCUGGGAGCUGUGGCUGUACUCAGCGUUCUCACUGUCCUGUGCUUUAGUAGCGGUGGUUUCCUGUUGCUGGCUCCUUGCUCUCAGAGGAGGCAGGUGUGUGGCAUUGCUCAGAUUGUCAGAGCUCCCAAGGGAAACACAGGAUAUUUGGAGGCAUGUCUGGAUAGCUAAAGCAGUUUGCUUGCUGUUUUUAUUUCCUGCAAGAAAAUGAGCUACAACCUUUUUCUCCUGGCUUUUGUCCUGGGCAUUACUGGAACUUUUCACUAUGGAUUGCAGGUCUCCAUUAUCAAUUCUCCUGCUGAGUACAUCCAGAGUUUCAUCUGUGAGACGUGGCUGAAGAGAUAUGGCUCCCCUCCCAGUGCACAGAUGAUCACUUUGAUGUGGUCCCUUAUUGUGUCCAUUUACAGCAUCGGUGGGCUCCUGGGCUCCUCCUCUGCUGGCUACUUGUCUGUUAGAUUUGGAAGGAAGAAGGCCAUGCUGCUUGCCAACAUCCCUGCUCUGCUGGGCGCAGCUCUGAUGGGACUCAGCCGGCUCUGUGGAUCUUUUGAGAUGAUCAUUGCUGGAAGGUUAUUUUCUGGAGUCUGUGGAGGUUUAGCUCAGAAUGUCCAUAUCAUGUAUGCUGGGGAAUGUGCUCCAAGGAAACUCCGUGGGCUGAUUGCCAUAACAGCUUCCACCUUCACUGCUGCUGGAAAAUUUGUGGGAUUUGCUCUGGGUCUCAGAGAAGUUCUUGGAGUGGAGGCUCUCUGGCCAAUUCUCCUGGCAGCCAAUGCAGUCCCUGUCCUUGUUCAGCUUCUCACCCUCCCCUUCUUCCCAGACUCUCCCCGCUACCUGCUCAUUGACCAAAAGGACAAGGAGGGAUGCAUCAAAGCUGUGAAGCAGCUCUGGGGAGAUGGGGACCAUGUGGCUGAAAUAGAUGACAUGAUGUCAGAGCAGAAAGCCAUCCAUGGGCAGAAGGCCAAGAGCGUUUGGGACCUGCUGAGGGACAGAGCCGUGCGCUGGCAGCUCAUCACUCUGUUCCUCGUCGUCUCGUGCAUUCAGCUCAUCGGGAUCAACGUGGUUUACUUUUAUGCAUACAGUAUCUUUACAAAGGCUGGAAUCCCCCCUGCUCAAAUCCAUUAUGUCUCCCUGGGGGUUGGGACCACUGAGAUCCUCUCCACAGUUCUGUGUGGCUUCCUCAUUGAGCGAGCAGGGAGGAGGACGCUGCUGUGGAAGAGCUACACGGUGAUGGCCUUGGCUCUAGGGCUCCUCACAGUCACCCUCUUCCUGCAGGACUCCUUUUUCUGGGUACCAUACUGCUCUGUUGCACUUGUCUUUAUUUUCAUCAUGAGCUUUGGCAUUGGGCCAGGUGGAGUAGUAUGCCCCUUGAUCACAGAGAUAUUUAUUCAGUCAUACAGACCAGCUGCUUAUGUUUUUAACGGUGUUACAAACUGGAUCCAACUCUUCAUCCUUGGACUUGUGUUCCCUUUCAUCGUGGAAGGUCUUGGUAAUUUCUGUUUCAUCAUUUUCCUGGCAUACUGUCUGUCCAUGGCAAUUUUUGUAUUCCUGGUGCUGCCAGAGACCAAAGGAAAGACCAUGCUGCAGGUCAUGGAGGAGUUCAACCGCCUGAACUACCGUGGAAAAAAGGGACAGGCAGCCCCAGAGCAGAGUAACUGCUCAGUGGUGACUGUUACUAGGCUUUAAGAACAAACCCUCCACUUCAUAUUUUGCUCUUUUAUUACUGUAGUGCCCAGUAGUCUCACUAAGCAAGAGAGAAUCCAUAGAUCCACCAAAAAAUCACCUUUAAUACAGGGUGCAGCAUAAACGUGGUGGUUCUCUCCAGUUCCUGAAAUAUGAGAUGAAUUAAUUCCUCUGCAGAAAAAAUCAAACACAGUUUAUAGAGAAAAUAUCAUCUUUGUCAGUCCCUCCAAGCUUGCAGUUGUAAACUGAAAACACAGGAUCUACUUGCUUGGCAAAACCAGGACUCCACAGUUGUGAGAAGUGAUUCUGGAAGGACCAGAGGUACAGCAAACUUGCAAAGAGGACAGAGCUUUGACACUGAAAUGAUCUGCCCUUAUUAACAAGUCAGUGCCAAUGAGCUUUCCCAGAGAAGAAGCUCCAGUUCACAGGAAAAGAAGCCUUUAACUCCUUAAGCCAGUGAAAGAAGAGUGCCUUGCCUAGCAGAAUCAAUAUGCAAUGUUCCCCAGUUUAUAAUCUUUACAAUAUUUUUGUUUACAGUCUUGGAGAUUCUUUCAUUGGGAAAAACAGGGAUAUGUCAGCACUGAAAGAAAGCAAUGAGCAAAGAAAGCAGAGCAGCAGGAAAUCAUGAGUGGGCAAAUCCAGUGUGCAGAUUCUCCUUCCUCAAUGGCAAUGACUGUGCAGUGUCUCCUCAGCCUGGAGAACACUGGGUUUCAGUGGGAUUGAGCCCUGACAGUAACUGGUACUGACAAGACAGAGAAAAGGAACACCUCUCCUGGAGAAUUUAAUCCAUAUGUGUGACUGCUUCUCUUUCCAGUUUUCUGGAAAGGAGAUAAAAAGCAGUGACUAGGAAAACACAUCCUUGUGAUUGUGCCUAGAUUGAUUUCAUUGAAUGAAGAGUCAGGGGCAGAGGAGACCCCAUCUGCUGGGUGGUGUUGUUGGGGUCAAGGAAUACUGUGUCUGUCUUGUUCUGGAGAUGAGAUCUUCACUACCAACUGAUGCAGAUGCUGCACAAUAAAUUUUGCAAAAGGAUCUGAAUACUGAGAAGCAGUUUCUUUCACAGCCCUAAGGCUCCCUGCUAUUUUAUCUUCACAUCAGCCUCCUGCAGCAUUUGUGGCAGUGGCAAAAUCUAAUGCCAGGAGCAGGGAAAUUUCCCAACACAGCCAUCCCUCCUGUGACAAUCAUCAUACUGGCAAAAAAACUAGAUAAAGUUUCUUGUUUCAAGGCUUGAGAUCAUUGAUUGCACAGUUCCACUUUAAUAACCAACAUACAUUCCUUCUUGUGGUCAAAAAUGCAGGGGGAAAAAAAAAACCAAACAAAAACAUUAGAAGUGCUUUGAAAAGAAAAUAUUGGGUAAUUGAUUAUUUUAAAGGUCCUUAUUUGGUUUGGUUUUUCUCAAAGUUACUGGUUCCCAAUGAGGAAGUUUUUACUGUCUUACAAGAGAUUAAAAACUCAUUUCCUUAUACAUGUCUUUCCACAGCAUGAUUGUGUUCAACCUGCCUUACUUCUCCCCUCCUGCUAAAGGCUGUCCACAAGAGGGAAAGUGUGGCAAAUCAUUAACCUUGCCAUAAACUAUCGUGGAUUGGGAAUAAAGGUUGAAGAAACACUUGUGAAUCUGCAGUUCCAGGAUCACACAAGUGCAACACAGGGCAUCUCUGAAAACAAAAUCCCUCCAAGUCCAGGGUGUUGGGUGAGCUCCAUACUGGGUCUGGAAAAAGCACAUUUCUUGUAGUCAAAUCUUAGGUGGAGGGAAUGCAUCUUGUCCUCCUCUUUAGGAAAAUAAAUG